GGACAAACUUUGCUUGCUAGGUUGAGUCUAUAAAUAGCCACCGUCUACAGUCCCAUUUCAUUGCAUCAAACAUCAUCCGACUAAAGUCACUAGGACUGCACCAUUGAUAUUCAAUUCUAACUCCGGAAAAGUCUCAACCAUGGCGGUCCACAGGCUUUUAAUUGCUUCCGUCUUAAUCUCCGUUCUUCUUUUCAACUUGCCGAAGCUGACCAAAUGACGCAGGGAAUUGCAAAUGCAGGAGACAACUCAAACCUUCCAAAAAUGGACUGUGGCGGGCGUGUGCUGCCAGGUGUCAGCUCUCGUCGAGGCCUCGCCUUUGCCAGAGGGCUUGCGGGACAUGUUGCGCCCGCUGCAAUGUGUCCCUCCGGGCACCUCUGGCAACCUUGAUGUCUGUCCAUGCUACGCUAACAUGACCACCCGCGACAACAAGCACAAGUGCCCAUGAGAUGCUCGACCGGCUUCGUUUCUUUCCGAUGGUUGGACACCAAUCACUCAAGCUUGUGCAAUUGCUGCCAAUUAUUGUAGUAACGUUGUUUUUGUUGUUGUGCUUUUAUGGAGCUCGUCAAGAAGUGGUUUGCAAAUGCAAAUUCACAAUGUAUUCAGCAAUUUAUCUGUUGUAUCUAACGUAAAUAAAGUUUUUCCAUUUUUCUUUC